rnacentral:rRNA from 1 species
AUUGAACGCUGGCGGCAUGCCUUACACAUGCAAGCCGAACGGCAGCACGGGGCAACCUGGUGGCGAGUGGCGAACGGGUGAGUAAUGCAUCGGAACGUACCUUUCAGUGGGGGAUAACGUAGCGAAAGUUACGCUAAUACCGCAUAUUCUGUGAGCAGGAAAGCAGGGGAUCGCAAGACCUUGCGCUGAUUGAGCGGCCGAUGUCAGAUUAGCUAGUUGGUGAGGUAAAGGCUCACCAAGGCGACGAUCUGUAGCGGGUCUGAGAGGAUGAUCCGCCACACUGGAACUGAGACACGGUCCAGACUCCUACGGGAGGCAGCAGUGGGGAAUUUUGGACAAUGGGGGCAACCCUGAUCCAGCCAUGCCGCGUGAGUGGAGAAGGCCUUCGGGUUGUAAAGCUCUUUCGGCCGGGAAGAAAUCGCACGGGCUAAUACCCUGUGUGGAUGACGGUACCGGAAUAAGAAGCACCGGCUAACUACGUGCCAGCCGCCGCCGUAA